AGGGUGCGAGCGUUGUCCGGAAUCACUGGGCGUAAAGGGCGCGUAGGUGGCCCGACAAGUCACUGGUGAAAGCUCGAUGCUCAACAUCGAGUCGGCCAGUGAUACUGUUGGGCUGGAGCACUGUAGAGGCUAAUGGAAUUCCGGGUGUAGCGGUGGAAUGCGUAGAGAUCCGGAAGAACACCGGUGGCGAAGGCGGUUAGCUGGGCAGUUGCUGACACUGAGGCGCGACAGCGUGGGGAGCAAACAGG
rnacentral:rRNA from 1 species